GGGGAUGUAGCUCAGUGGUAGAGCGAAUGUUUUGCAUGUAUGAGGUCCUGCGUUCAAUCCCCAGCUUCUCCA
rfam:Salmo salar isolate Sally breed double haploid chromosome ssa22, whole genome shotgun sequence.